rnacentral:siRNA from 1 species
AUAGUAAGUUAAGUUUUCAGCCUC